GACGUAGGGCGCGAGCGUUGUCCGGAUUUAUUGGGCGUAAAGGGCUCGUAGGCGGUUUGUCGCGUCGGGAGUGAAAACUCAGGGCUCAACCCUGAGCGUGCUUCCGAUACGGGCAGACUAGAGGUAUGCAGGGGAGAACGGAAUUCCUGGUGUAGCGGUGGAAUGCGCAGAUAUCAGGAGGAACACCGGUGGCGAAGGCGGUUCUCUGGGCAUUACCUGACGCUGAGGAGCGAAAGCGUGGGGAGCGAACAGG
rnacentral:rRNA from 1 species